rnacentral:rRNA from 1 species
GAUGAACGCUGGCGGCGUGCCUAAUACAUGCAAGUCGAGCGAACGGACGAGAAGCUUGCUCCUCUGAUGUUAGCGGCGGGCGGGUGAGUAACACAUGGAUACCCUACCUAUAAAACUGGGAUAACUUCGUGAAACCGGAGCUAAUACCGGAUAAUAUUUUGAACCGCAUGGUUCAAAAGUUAAAGACGGUCUUGCGGUCACUUAUAGAUGAAGCCGCGCUGCAUUAGCUAGUUGGUAAGGUAACGGCUUACCAAGGCAACGAUGCGUAGCCGACCUGAGAGGGUGAUCGGCCACACUGGAACUGAGACACGGCCCAGACUCCUACGGGAGGCAGCAGUAGGGAAUCUUCCGCAAUGGGCGAAAGCCUGACGGAGCAACGCCGCGUGAGUGAUGAAGGUCUUCGGAUCGUAAAACUCUGUUAUUAGGGAAGAACAUAUGUGUAAGUAACUGUGCACAUCUUGACGGUACCUAAUCAGAAAGCCACGGCUAACUACGUG